UUCUCUCUCGCCCUCUCCCUCCCCCCAAAGAGGAGGGGGGAGAACCCUCCCGCAGAAACCUAUGAAAGGCGCAGGACAAGCCUGUUGAAACUUGGGGAAGUGUUAGUUUACUUUGUCAAAUAUUUGGAAAGACUGGCUCCGUCGCGACUUAGGCCAAGCUCCUGGUUUUUAGAGGUCUUUAUUAGUUUUCGGAGCUCGGGGGAGAGUAGGGGGAGAGGGAUAAAACGGUAUACUAUAUAUACUGAUAAAAAAAUGUUUAAAAAAAUACCCCAAUCGCUCUUUACACUUGGAAGCUUCUACCAAGCUACCGGAAUUGUUGUCUUUAUCCUAGCCAGAGCUCCCAAGAAGCGCCCUCCUUCCUUGAAGAAAGGCCUCAGGCCCAACCGAAGAGAAAUUUAGCUGACACAAACCUUCCCCCCCCCCAAUCAAAUUCUGUGGGUUUCCGUGCGAGGGAUUUGCGCGCGCGCUUCGUUAACUCUCUGGUCGAAAUCCCCGGGACCUCUCGCCCCUCUCCCCCUCGGCGCGCGGGCUUCGGUCUUCAAAGAAGGGCGCGCGAGGAUGCACCUUGCAGCCGGCAGAGAUUCGGUCUAUUUGCUUGAGAGUAUAAAACCCCUUCGCAACCGGGAAAAGCUCUUUCUCUCUCUCUCUCUCUCUCCUCCCAGGGUGGCGUGUCCUUAAAACGCGCUCGUAUUUUCUUGGAUCGCGACCACAGCGGCUAUAAAUCUCGGAGGCAAACCCUUGGACCUGAGUCAGGCGGCCUUCAGGAUUUGUGUUCCCACGACGCGCCUGGGUCUCGCCUGUUGCCCUCUGGGCGAACCCAAAGUUUGGCUUCUUCGCGUUUAACUUGUUUUGCAAAGCAACACAAAACCAGGGACCAGCGCGUGCUUCCUGCGAUCAGGGUGGCUGCCGUUGCCAUCAGAUCGGCUCCGCUUGGAGUCCCCUUCUUUCCUCUCCCCCUCCCCCAAAAAAUUCACCGGUCCGCGCUGCACCCGGAGUCCCGCGACCCAUUUAGGACAUUCGGUGUUCACUCGGGAAGGGCGAAAUAAAAGGCACCUUUGGAGGCGAAAUAAAUCAAGUUUCCUUCCUUUGUAAUUUAUUACUCAAAUUAGACUACAGAGAUACAGUAACACACCCGGUUAGCACAUUUCACGGGCGAGGAAGAAAACCCCCCAUUUUAAAAGUGAAGAAUGAAACGCCGUCAUUUUUAUAUUCUCGUUUUAUCCUUCCGCGAUUUAAUACUAGCACCUUCCACGGGCCGAAUAAAAACCAGGCGAUCGAUGGGGGGGGGGAUUAAAAGGUGGUUUGCAAAUAAGGGCAACAUUUAACUGUAGAAUUUCGGGGCUUCCGUUCCCACAUUUUUGCAAGACGGGAGAGAUCGGGCAAGACUUCCUAAAGCGUCUCUUGCACGGUUUGCACCGCUCAAGAUGGGCCAAGGACUUACGCAAAGAUUAUCUGUGCCCCGCACAGCAGCCGGCAAGAGAGGGCUGGAAGGCGCGAAAAAAAAUAAAAAAAAAAUCAAAGUCCAGAGGUUUUGCUACCUAACUUCACCUCUGGACUUUCGAUCAGGAAUCUGAAAGGUUGCAAGCGACGCAUCUGUCACUCGCUUUUUUUUUUUCUUUUCCUUUCGUUUUCUUUAAUGAAUAACGGACCUGUUUUCAAAUUGUAUCGACUGGAUACAUCUGCUUUAGGGGGAAGGAAAGAAAAAAAAAACAGCUAAUCAAAGGCAGGCGAGGAGGAAGAGGGUGGUCUGUUUCACAGAAAAUUAGACAGUAAUCCAAUGAGGUCGUAUGCUUUUCUCUUCUCUCCCUCCUUCCUCUCCUCUCCCCCAUUUUUCGCCCAAACAAGCAAAUAAUCGUGCAUUUAAAAAACAUGUCACGCAAGCUUAUGCCACAUUUUCUCUGCAGGACCCCCCCCCCGUUCCUUAAUUUUUCUUUUUUCUUUUUACAAAAAUUCCAGCAAUUGAAAAAGUCUGGGUCGCUGAUGGGAUCCAAACCAAUUUAAGGACCGAAUUGGGUGACCGACCGGAUAACCAGCCUUGCCCUUCAAAAAAACAAGACGGGAAAACCUGUUCCUCUCGUGGCCUUUCUAGUCCUUAAAAGUGUUUUUAAAAGCCGCCCACCCGAGAAUAAAAUGAAAGAAACCUGAAAUAAAUAUAAGACUUGCUAGAAAGUCAACCCCGCCAACAUUCAGCGGGACCUGAAGCUCCCGAGGAAGUACCAGGGGCGCAAGCUCGAAAGCAUAAGGAGCCCAGGAAAUCUCCUUCCAAGAAUUGGUGUAAACUUUGGAAAAUACACACAUACACGAGCACGCGCGCGCACACACGCACACACACAUACACAAACCCGCACGCUGCAGUAGGAAUCUGAGCGCUAUGGCAGGCAGAAGUCUGACGGGCGGGGGGCCGGUCAGAACCCGCAAGCAGCACGCCUGAAACUGACACGGCCGACACGCGAGUAUAUGUCUCUUCGAAGCCUUUCACAGCUAACGACCCCCCGCCCCCCCCCUCGAUUCGAGGCACGCAUCCCAGCGCUCCUACUUAUCCAAGAGACCCGGUUCGCCCGAAAGAGCUAACGUUAAUGGUCGAAAUCACUCAGCACCUCCUAAGAAAAUGUCAGCACCUAACAGCUCAGGAAGAUACAAUUUAGCCAGGAAUGGUGGUGGGAACAUGCUGUUUUAUUUUUCCUUCCUUUUUUUUCCACAAAAGUAGACUCAACCCCAUUUUGGGAGAGGUCAAAUUCACAUAUGUGACCUUGGGUGACCUUUGGCGCUCUAUGAUGACAACAUCUACAAGAAAUAACUUGAACUCCUGAUCUCUUGUCAGGCCACAAGACAUCUAUCGGGUGCAGAGAAACCUGGCAAUUAAUACAAAUGCAUGUACUUCAUGAGAUGGAUGACGCUAGUGAUUAAAAGAGUCUUUCCACUCACGGCACCAUUAGCCCAGCAACCACAAUGAGUGACCGGUGGUCUACAUAUUACAGAUUGUCAAGUCUAUUUCUUGUGACAGUAACGCAUUCUGGAAACUUACACCAGACAAGGGUAAAAACUUAGGAACACGCUUCAGUCAGGGUAGAUUGUGGCUUCUCUUUUUUAAUAUUUAGUUCUUAAAUUACCCUUUGUUUUUCCUCUAAACCUUUGUAAAAUCUGAUACUCAACUCCUCCCAUUCGGAGAUGUAAUUUUACUUCCCAAAACAGGCUGAGAAGCACAGAGUGGCUAAGAGGUAUUUUAUGGGUAAGGCUCAAUUUCAAAACUGAAGGACAUUAUGCAAAUUGGCUCUAGGCAAGUCACUCUGCCUCAUCAACUUCCCAGGAUCACGGAGAUGCUCUAUCUAAGGUUCACCUUCAGCAAUAAAUACGCACCAGAAGCCAGGUAAAAAUAUCAAGGAACAUAUGUGGGAACUCCAGGAUCAUGGGUGCUGGCUUCAAGUCUAGUUGGUUAAUGCAUCUUGCUUAUGAAUAUAAUAUCAUUUAUUUCAUGUAGUUCAUUUAGUGACUGUUCAAAGUUACGGCACUGAAUAAAGUGACUUAUGACCAUUUUUCACAGUUACAACCUUUGAAGCAUCCUCAUGAUCCUAUGAUCAAAAUUCAGGUGCUUGGCAACUGGCUCAUACUUAUGACCGUUGCUGUGUCCCAAGGUCAUGUGAUCCCCUUUUCUGACAAUGGAGAAGCCAGAUUCACUUCACAACUGGGUUUUACUAAUUUAUCAGUUGCAGGGUUUCAGUUAACAAUGUGACAAGAAAGGUCAUAAAAUGGGGCAAAACUCAAUAAAUGUCUCUCUUAACAACAGAAUUGUUGGGCUCAAUUGUAGUCAUAGGUUGAGGACUACUUGUAGCACUACCAGUUAUACAUGGUGGUCUCUCUUAUGCUUUCAGAGCUUGUUGUAAAAUUGUCAUUUAUAAAGUAACAGGGGGAAGGGAUUAUUACUUGUGCAGGGAAUAGUCAUACAAUUUCAGCAGAUGGUUGCAUUUAGCUGACCUUAACCGAUCUCGGAAGCUAAGCAAUGUCCCCUUAGUUACUAGCAGUAGAAACUGCUUGGGAAUUUUUGAGUAGUUGGCUAGGUUGAGAAGUUAAAACAAAAAAUAUAGAGUAAGCAUUAAGAAGAUGGCAAUGUCAAACCAGUUUCAUAACAAGUAGCUUUAAGGAUGCUGUCAUAACCAGAAAGACUCUAAGGAUUCUAUCCCAAGGAAUUAAACUGAUGAAUUUGUUGGGGUUUUUUAAAAAGGAGAUUGAUAGUUAUUUACUUUAAAUGAAAAGAAAUUCAAUUUUCAUUCACAUUUUUUUAAAAUGCUCUGUUUUCUUUUUUUUGUUUUCUUUCUUUUUUCUUUCUUCUUUUUCUACUUAUUGAUAUGUGGCCUGGAAUGCACAUAUCAAAGGCCAAAUCCAGUCAUCUGCCUAAAAAGAUGUUGCCAAAGCCAUACAUUUAAAAAAUAAUAAUCUUAAGCUUUGCAAAGUGUUUAAGCUUAUUCAUCUCAGUACAUGCACAAAAUCAAGAUGAAUCCGGCGCUUUGUAGUCCUCACCUCCUAGCAAGAAACUAAAAGUAAACAAGCUAUUUGCUUCA